GAUGAACGCUGGCGGCGUGCCUAAUACAUGCAAGUCGAGCGAACAGACGAGGAGCUUGCUCCUCUGACGCUAGCGGCGGACGGGUGAGUAACACGUGGAUAACCUACCUAUAAGACUGGGAUAACUUCGGGAAACCGGAGCUAAUACCGGAUAAUAUAUUGAACCGCAUGGUUCAAUAGUGAAAGACGGUUUUGCUGUCACUUAUAGAUGGAUCCGCGCCGCAUUAGCUAGUUGGUAAGGUAACGGCUUACCAAGGCAACGAUGCGUAGCCGACCUGAGAGGGUGAUCGGCCACACUGGAACUGAGACACGGUCCAGACUCCUACGGGAGGCAGCAGUAGGGAAUCUUCCGCAAUGGGCGAAAGCCUGACGGAGCAACGCCGCGUGAGUGAUGAAGGUCUUCGGAUCGUAAAACUCUGUUAUUAGGGAAGAACAAAUGUGUAAGUAACUAUGCACGUCUUGACGGUACCUAAUCAGAAAGCCACGGCUAACUACGU
rnacentral:rRNA from 1 species